rnacentral:rRNA from 1 species
GGUUGCGGAUGAGCAUGCGGUUGAUUAGCUAGUUGGUAGUGUAACGGACUACCAAGGCAAUGAUCAAUAGGGGAACUGAGAGGUUUAUCCCCCACACUGGCACUGAGAUACGGGCCAGACUCCUACGGGAGGCAGCAGUAGGGAAUAUUGGACAAUGGUUGAGAGACUGAUCCAGCCAUGCCGCGUGCAGGAAGAAGGCCUUCUGGGUUGUAAACUGCUUUUGCCAGGGGAUAAAAAGUCCCUGCGGGGAAAAUUGAAGGUACCUGGUGAAUAAGCCACGGCUAACUACGUGCCAGCAGCCGCGGUAAUACGUAGGUGGCAAGCGUUGUCCGGAUUUAUUGGGUAUAAAGGGUGCGUAGGCGGUUUUAUAAGUCAGUGGUGAAAUACGGCAGCUCAACU